rnacentral:rRNA from 1 species
AUAGAGGCCUACCAUGGUGGUAACGGGUAACGGGGUGUUAGGGCACGACACCGGAGAGGGAGCCUGAGAAACGGCUACCACAUCCAAGGAUGGCAGCAGGCGCGCAAAUUACCCAAUCCCGACACGGGGAAGUAGUGACAAUAAAUAACAAUACGGGGUUCUUUCGGAUCUCGUAAUUGGAAUGAGUACAAUUUAAAUCUCUUAACGAGGAACAAUUGGAGGGCAAGUCUGGUGCCAGCAGCCGCGGUAAUUCCAGCUCCAAUAGCGUAUAUUAAAGUUGUUGCAGUUAAAAAGCUCGUAGUUGAAUUUCGGGGUUAGUAGGUUGGUCAUGCCUCUGGUAUGUACUGGUCUCACUGAUUCCUCCUUCCUGAUGAACCGUAAUGCCAUUAAUUUGGUGUUGCGGGGAAUUUGGACUGUUACUUUGAAAAAAUUAGAGUGUUUAAAGCAAGCUAACGCUUGAAUACAUUAGCAUGGAAUAAUGAAAUAGGACGUUCGAUCCUAUUUUGUUGGUUUCUAGGAUUGACGUAAUGAUUAAUAGGGAUAGUUGGGGGCAUUAGUAUUCAAUUGUCAGAGGUGAAAUUCUUGGAUUUAUUGAAGACUAACUACUGCGAAAGCAUUUGCCAAGGAUGUUUUCAUUAAUCAAGAACGAAAGUUAGGGGAUCGAAGACGAUCAGAUACCGUCGUAGUCUUAACCAUAAACUAUGCCGACUAGG